rnacentral:rRNA from 1 species
UACGUAGGCAGCGAGCGUUGUUCGGAGUUACUGGGCGUAAAGAGUGCGUAGGCGGUUUUCUAAGUUUGGUGUGAAAUCUCCCGGCUUAACUGGGAGGGUGCGCCGAAAACUGGAAGGCUUGAGUAUGGGAGAGGUAAGCGGAAUUCCUGGUGUAGCGGUGAAAUGCGUAGAUAUCGGGAGGAAUACCAGUGGCGAAGGCGGCUACCUGGCCCAUUCUUGACGCUGAGGCGCGAAAGCUAGGGGAGCGAACGGG